GCUGGGGCACAGUGAAGUUAAAGCCAAGGUCCACACAGCUAGUAUGUGAAGCACUUAGGAUUCAUAUCCAGAAUUCUGGAUUUUAAGCUUCUAAAGAGUGGACUAUUUUCAACAAUGGUGUAUCUUGCCAUAACUAACAUAGUAUGUUGUAUUUAGAGGCAUUUAUUAAUUAUUUCCUGAAUAGAAUUAUGGCAGCAGUGAAAAAUUUUUGGUCAGAAUAGUGAGCCUUUCUUUGUGAGCCACACCAUUAGACCAAUGCUUCCAAAGUAAACAAAAGCCGCUGCCUUUAAUUGAUGUUUACUGGGGCAAUCAGAGCUUUAGUGAACUAUACAAACUGAAAAUGUCAUCACACCUUGCUCUGCAACUUACAAGCUGGGUAAUCUUGAGUAAGUCAACAAGCUCUCCGAAGCCCAGUUCUUUAUUAGUAAAAUAGGGAUAUUAAAUAGCCUGAGAAAGAAGUUGUGAAGAUUCGGGAUAAUACAACAAAGAACUACAGAAAGUAAUAUAUAGUAACCACAUGAUUAAUAAUAAUAAUGCAUGCGAUCAUUUUUAUGGCGAUGAUUCUCAUCAUUCACUAUUUGCCCUUUUGCAUCUGGCUUAUUUCACUUAGCACAAUGUUUUCAAAGUUCGUCCAUGUUGUAGCAUGUAUUAAUUUUAUUUCUUUUUAAGAUGGAAUAAUUUUUCACUGUAUGUAUACACAUUUUGUUUAUCCAUAUGUUUAUCCAUUUGUUCAUGAACAUUUGGUUUAUUUCUACCUUUUGAUUACUCUGAAUAUUGGUGUACAAAUAUCUGUUCUAGUUCCUGCUUUCAAUUCUUUUGGGUAUAGAUCUAGAAGUGGAAUUGCUGGGUCAUAUGGUAAUUCUAUAUUUAAUUUUUUUGAGAAAUUGUCACACCAUUUUUCCAAAGCAGCUCACAAGGGUUUCAAUUUCUCCACUUCUUCUCCAACACUUUACAAAAUAUAUACAAUGAGCAUUCUAAUAGGUGUGAUGUAAUAUCUCAUUGUGGUUUUGAUUUGCAUUUAUCUGGUGAUUAGCAGUAUUGAGCCUCUUUUCAUAUGUUUAUUGUCCUUUGUAUAUCUUCCUUUUAGAAAUAGCUAUUCAAGUCCUUUGCCUAUUUUUGAAUUGAGUUGGUUUUGUUGUUAUUGUUGAGUUGUAGUUCUUUAUAUAUUCUGGAUGUUAAUCUCUUAUAUGAGAUAUGAUUUGCAAAUGUUUCCUGCAUUGUGUGAGUUGCCUUUUCACUCUGCUGAUUGUAUUCAUUGAUGCACAACAAUUUUUAAUCUUGAUGAAAUCCAAUUUAUCUAUUUUUUCUUUUUUAGACUGUACUUUUAGUGUCGUAUCUUAAAAUAACUGC
rnacentral:lncRNA from 1 species